ensembl:lncRNA WASH5P WASP family homolog 5, pseudogene
AGCUUCCGGGAGGGCGGCUCGCAGGCACCAUGACUCCUGUGAGGAUGCAGCACUCCCUGGCAGGUCAGACCUAUGCCGUGCCCUUCAUCCAGCCAGACCUGCGGCGAGAGGAGGCCGUCCAGCAGAUGGCGGAUGCCCUGCAGUACCUGCAGAAGGUCUCUGGAGACAUCUUCAGCAGGUCACUGCAUCUGUCUCUCCACCAUGUGCUCCACCUCGUGCUGGACCUUAAGAGAUACCAAUUAUGUGGCUGCCACUGUGUCCUAGAGGCUGGAAUGGGAACACAUAGGGCGAGAUUGAUUGUUAAUUGCUAGCAUGAACCGCGUGGGCUUCUCAGGGUCUAGAGUGGAGAGAAAUCGGUAAGAAUUGGUGGCACGCCUGUCAGAACUCCCCAGACCAAGCUAAGCAAAAAUUAACCAAUCAGUAGAGCAGCCUUCGGAGUAAGGGCUAAAAUGAUGUCCUCAGGGCCUGGUUUUGCUUUCCUUCCAUGUCAGUUUGCUUCUUUGGGUCUGGCUGCAUUCCCAGACAGGCCAUGCUCUCGUGGUAGCAAGGUGACAUGACACAGGGUCAGGUC